ensembl:lncRNA
CUUGUGAGCAUGCCUUCCUCUAAUAAUGAUUUAAACAUAAGCUAAGAAAAGGCUUUCUGUAUGAGGAUAUAGUUGUCUGAUCUUUCAAGGCAAGCCAAAAUUCACACUUGGGAACUUCAGAAAGAAUCCCAGAAGAGCCCAGCAAAAAAUGUUGAAUCCAAAGACUUUUUUUUCUUCCUAGUACCAGCACAGAAAUAACGUCUCUACAUGGUGCCAGGGGACUUGGUACUACUAUAAUUGUCAUGUGUUAGAUGAGAUAUAAAACACAGAGUUUGGCAGCUUGCAACUGUUAAAGAUCUUGGUCUUCUGGAAAGCUGGAAAUGUUUACUUUGGCGGACAUGAUGAACUGCCCAGUUGAUAAACUGAGCAAUUAAAUUCCACGUUUCCCUACAGAAAUCCAUACAGUCGUGAAUAGUCCCUGGAGUGAACACACACACAUUUGUUUGUCUGGAUUGUGGCUUAAAUUGCUGUUGUUGUUUGAGAUGUACGUGGUAGUGCUGGAAAGUCAGGUCAUCUAGUCCUACCGUAACCAUCUGUAGUGGGAAAAGUGGCUUCUCUUAUGAAUUUAUGAACCCAACAUUACUGUUGGUGGUGGAGCAAUUUGUUUUUGGUGACAUCGGCUUGGGUUCUGGCUGGGAACUCAUAUGCCAUGGAUUUGAGCCUGCUCAGAAAUGUAGCAGAACUGAACUUUUAUGUAGUGGCCUUAAGCAGGAGAACACCAAAAUCUCUUGUAAAAACACAGCCCUAAUGGUAGAAUGGGUUGGGUUGGAAGGGGUCACGAAGAUCAUCUAGUUCCAGUCCCCUGUUGAUGCAGGCAGGAUUGCUGACCACUUGAAUCGGGCACCAUAUCAGGUUGUCCAGCACCCCAUCCAACCUGUCUGAAUUAUCCCCCUCUUUGCAUCCAAGGAGUCAAAAUCAUUAAUCUUGGGAAAUAUGACUAAGAUCAUCUCGUCCAACUGUCAACCCAUCACCACCAUGCCCACUAAAUCAUGGAACCAUCAAUGAGACCUUAUGAGCUGGUUACAGAAAUCAGAGGG